rnacentral:rRNA from 1 species
GAUCCUGGCUCAGGACGAACGCUGGCGGCGUGCCUAAUACAUGCAAGUAGAACGCUGAAGGAGGAGCUUGCUUCUCCGGGUGAGUUGCGAACGGGUGAGUAACGCGUAGGUAACCUGCCUGGUAGCGGGGGAUAACUAUUGGAAACGAUAGCUAAUACCGCAUAAGAGUAGAUGUUGCAUGACAUUUGCUUAAAAGGUGCAAUUGCACCACUACCAGAUGGACCUGCGUUGUAUUAG